rnacentral:rRNA from 1 species
UACGAAGGGGGCUAGCGUUGCUCGGAAUCACUGGGCGUAAAGCGCACGUAGGCGGACUCUUAAGUCAGGGGUGAAAUCCUGGAGCUCAACUCCAGAACUGCCUUUGAUACUGACGGUCUUGAGUCCGGGAGAGGUGAGUGGAACUCCGAGUGUAGAGGUGAAAUUCGUAGAUAUUCGGAAGAACACCAGUGGCGAAGGCGGCUCACUGGCCCGGUACUGACGCUGAGGUGCGAAAGCGUGGGGAGCAAACAGG